rnacentral:tRNA from 1 species
GAGGAUAUAGCUCAGUGGUAGAGUGCUUAGCAUGCAUGAGGUCCUGGGUUCAAUCCCCAGAACCUCU